CCUACGGGAGGCAGCAGUGGGGAAUAUUGGACAAUGGGGGCAACCCUGAUCCAGCCAUGCCGCGUGUGUGAAGAAGGCCCUCGGGUUGUAAAGCACUUUCAGUGAGGAAGAACGCCUGGUGGUUAAUACCCAUCAGGAAAGACAUCACUCACAGAAGAAGCACCGGCUAACUCCGUGCCAGCAGCCGCGGUAAUACGGAGGGUGCGGGCGUUAAUCGGAAUUACUGGGCGUAAAGCGCGCGUAGGUGGCUUGAUAAGCCGGUUGUGAAAGCCCCGGGCUCAACCUGGGAACGGCAUCCGGAACUGUCAAGCUAGAGUGCAGGAGAGGAAGGUAGAAUUCCCGGUGUAGCGGUGAAAUGCGUAGAGAUCGGGAGGAAUACCAGUGGCGAAGGCGGCCUUCUGGACUGACACUGACACUGAGGUGCGAAAGCGUGGGUAGCAAACAGGAUUAGAUACCCGUGUAGUC
rnacentral:rRNA from 1 species